ensembl:snoRNA
AGUACCAUUAUUUUUAUGAGCAAUGGUAAGCAUGGGAUAAAAUAAUAUUGGACCAUUAUAAAUUGAGAUGAAAUAACCUUUUUCAUCUCUUUUGCAUUGACUAGACAUUG